UGCCAUCAAAGUGGAAAUGGGAUUCAGCC
rnacentral:piRNA from 1 species